rnacentral:lncRNA from 1 species
ACGGCAGUGUCUGGUUGCGGAAACCAGGAGAAAAUUGGGGAGGUAAUUUUGGUGAUUCUAAUGCGGAUAAGGGCAAAGCGGAUUUGAAUGCUAAUUGUAAUACUCAAUUUUUUGCCCGGGCCCAACUACUCAUUAAACUUAACCCAAAACCCAAAUCACACCCGAGCCCACUUAGACCAAACCCAUAACAGUCAGAGAGACCUUUAGCAGAUUGAAGUAAACUGGCGCCUCCAGCUUCCCACGAACGUCGCCCUCGAUGCAUAAACGCUACAACACGUUCCCCUCGCACAACCCACGUUCUCUAACGCCCACACCUGCAACAAAUCAUGACUAGGAACAGAGAUAAUGACAGAAAAUACAAGGGAAAAAAUGUAAAAAGGAGAAGGUAGUUUUUCGGAGUUUUUGAUUCCCUUAUUUCGGCUAUUAAAGCCAAAUAGAAAUCUG